rnacentral:sRNA from 12 species
GUGGCUCUGCUCUAACCGAAGCCUGACGUUAUGCGUCAGAGAUUCAUGUAGGUUACGCGGGGCCAU